AGUGAACGCUGGCGGUAGACCUAACACAUGCAAGUCGAACGGCAGCACAGUAAGAGCUUGCUCUUACGGGUGGCGGGUGGCGGACGGGUGAGGAAUACAUCGGAAUCUACUUUUUCGUGGGGGAUAACGUAGGGAAACUUACGCUAAUACCGCAUACGACCUACGGGUGAAAGCAGGGGAUCUUCGGACCUUGCGCGAUUGAAUGAGCCGAUGUCGGAUUAGCUAGUUGGCGGGGUAAAGGCCCACCAAGGCGACGAUCCGUAGCUGGUCUGGGAGGAUGAUCAGCCACACUGGAACUGAGACACGGUCCAGACUCCUACGGGAGGCAGCAGUGGGGAAUAUUGGACAAUGGGCGCAAGCCUGAUCCAGCCAUACCGCGUGGGUGAAGAAGGCCUUCGGGUUGUAAAGCCCUUUUGUUGGGAAAGAAAAGCAGCAGGUUAAUACCCCGCUGUUCUGACGGUACCCAAAGAAUAAGCACCGGCUAACUUCGUG
rnacentral:rRNA from 1 species